ensembl:lncRNA
UGAUGUCUGGACGUGAAGAACAAAGUACCGAGCCUGCAGAGAUGCUGAGAACCUGCGUUGCCCCUCGCCCCUUGCAAAGACCUCAUCUGGAACCAAAACGCCAAGACUGCAAAAGCCAAAAGUUGGUAAAAACACCGGGUUAUGCCCGCUGCUUUCAUGAGGAUAGGACCCCCCAGUUCUGCCCUUUAGUGGACAAAGCUGCACAUUCCUCCUCCUCCGAGUCACCCUGGGAGCGAUGAUGGAGUGGCCAUGGAUCCAAUGGAGUGGCCAUGGAUCUGUCGAGCCUCCCAACCUUGAGCUGAUCACUUUUAAUAAAGGCACUAAAAAGGAGAAAAAGCCUCCUGCCCUGUUGAUUUCAAUCCCGAUUUUUAAGCCCUGAUGGAGGGGGAAAGACCUCCGUGAGGCUUUGGCCGUGGUCAGCAUCCUCUCCUUCUUCCCUUCAGCUGCUCUUUGCCUUUCCAAGGAUUUCCCACUUGCUGGGUUUGUUUAACCGGGCUCCCCCGGAAAAGGUUAAUGGGGGAGACCAGAGCAACUCAGGGCAAUGAGGAGAGACAGACAGACAGACAGACAGACAGACAGACAGACGGGCACUACAGCUUUAACAGAGGUGAUCCCUCUCAGCGCUCCGUUCACAUGAAUUUCUCCAGUGGUUUCUGGGCACAGCCUCCCCUGGGUGUUUUCUGUGCUUUGUGUCACCCUCCAGCCCUCAAACCCUCUCUGGGAUUGUCCCUCCAUCCCCACCCACUCCUUCCCACAGCUCCCGGGGUGAACACCACGGUCUGGAGGCUUGGACGAGUCUCCAGGUGGAUGGAGGAUGGAAGGAUGUGCGGAUGAAGGGCUGGAGGGGCGAUAAGAGCAGCGUCACAGCGGAGAAAUUACUAAAUCCACCGAGCUCCUAAUGCAGGAGUGGGAAAUAAUCCCUUCAUCUGCAGCACAGCAGCAGCUCAGCUCCUUCUCGUGACCUCAGAUGCCUCCUCAGGCCGAGCAAGGUCCUCCAAGGACCAGCCUGAGGCUCUUCUACAGCUUCAGCCCCAGGAAACACCGAAAUAUUCACACACCAAAGAAGAACGAACUCUUCCUCCAAGAGAAUUGGUGUCCAAAACUUCCCAAGGCAGCCCAAAAUCCAUGGAGGCCAGCAGCCAGGAGAGUGGAGGCAGCUGGAGGAGUGCAGGACCAGGACAGCUCCUCCAGGGCUGCUCCAGGCAGGCAUCUUCCGGAAAGCUGCUGGGCUGGUGGAAGGUGCUCCUGCUCCUGGCUGCUGGGCAGGGGAGGAAUCUUGUUGCAGACAUCUUUUAUGGAAAAUCCCUUCCUUAGGAUUUUUCCUCCUGAGGAGCUGAGAGGCCUCAGGAACAAAAUGUAAACAUUGAUUAUCUGCUGCUGUGCAAUGCAACAGGUGGAUCUGUGAUUGGCUCAUGUUGGAUGUUUAUAAUUAAUGGCCAAUCACAGUCAGCUGGCUUGGACUCUCUGUCCGAGACACAAACCUUUGUUAUCAUUCUUUCCUUUCUAUUCUUAGCUAGCUUUCUGAUGAAACCAUUUCUUCUAUUAUUUUAGUAUAGUUUUAAUGUAAUAUAUAUCAAAAAAUAAUAAAUCAAGCCUUCUGAAACA